rfam:Oryctolagus cuniculus chromosome 4, whole genome shotgun sequence.
UGGCAGUUAAAGAACAGAAACAGAGCAAUGAGACUGCCUGGCUACAUUUUCCCAGUGCCACCAACUGGGAGUUAAGCAGACAAACAUUUUGAAAGCCCAGCCCAUUUUGUUCCCAGUAGGAUGGCAGG